GCGCCAGUAGCCCAACGGAUUAGAGCAUCUGACUACGGAUCAGAAGGUUGCAGGUUCGAAUCCUGUCUGGCGCACGA
rnacentral:tRNA from 16 species